rnacentral:rRNA from 1 species
AUACAUGCAAGUCGAACGCUUCUUCUCUACCGAGUGCUUGCACUCAUUUGAAAAGAGGAGUGGCGGACGGGUGAGUAACACGUGGGUAACCUGCCCAUCAGAGGGGGAUAACACUUGGAAACAGGUGCUAAUACCGCAUAAUAGUCGACACCGCAUGGUGUUGAUUUGAAAGACGCUUUCGGGUGUCACUGAUGGAUGGACCCGCGGUGCAUUAGCUAGUUGGUGAGGUAACGGCUCACCAAGGCGAUGAUGCAUAGCCGACCUGAGAGGGUGAUCGGCCACACUGGGACUGAGACACGGCCCAGACUCCUACGGGAGGCAGCAGUAGGGAAUCUUCGGCAAUGGACGAAAGUCUGACCGAGCAACGCCGCGUGAGUGAAGAAGGUUUUCGGAUCGUAAAACUCUGUUGUUAGAGAAGAACAAGUAGGAGAGUAACUGCUCUUACCUUGACGGUAUCUAGCCAGAAAGCCACGGCUAACUACGUGCCAGCAGCCGCGGUAAUACGUAGGUGGCAAGCGUUGUCCGGAUUUAUUGGGCGUAAAGCGAGCGCAGCGGUUUCUUAAGUCUGAUGUGAAAGCCCCCGGCUCAACCGGGGAGGGUCAUUGGAAACUGGGAGACUUGAGUGCAGAAGAGGAGAGUGGAAUUCCAUGUGUAGCGGUGAAAUGCGUAGAUAUAUGGAGGAACACCAGUGGGCGAAGCGACUCUCUGGUCUGUAACUGACGCUGAGCUCGAAAGCGUGGGGGAGCAAACAGGAUUAGAUACCCUGGUAGUUCCACGCCGUAAACGAUG